rnacentral:rRNA from 1 species
UGGGGAAUCUUGCACAAUGGGCGAAAGCCUGAUGCAGCGACGCCGCGUGGGGGAUGAAGCUUUUCGGAGUGUAAACCCCUUUCGACCCGGACGAAUGUCCCGCAAGGGAACUGACGGUACGGGUAUAAGAAGCCCCGGCUAACUACGUGCCAGCAGCCGCGGUAAGACGUGGGGGGCCAGCGUUGCUCGGAAUUACUGGGUGUAAAGGGUUCGUAGGCGGUGUAGCAAGUCGGGAGUGAAAUCUCUGGGCUCAACCCAGAGACUGCUUCCGAAACUGCUGUGCUUGAGUGUGGGAGAGGCGCGUGGAAUUGCAGGUGUAGCGGUGAAAUGCGUAGAUAUCUGCAGGAACACCCGUGGCGAAAGCGGCGCGCUGGACCACUACUGACGCUGAGGAACGAAAGCUAGGGGAGCAAACAGGAUUAGAUACCCUGGUAGUCCUAGCCCUAAACGAUCAGGACUUGGGGUGCCGCACGUUCGUGCGUCGUCCCGGAGCUAACGCGUUAAGUCCUGCACCUGGGGAGUACGGUCGCAAGAC